GUGCCAGCCGCCGCGGUAAGACGGAGGAGGCUAGCGUUGUUCGGAAUUACUGGGCGUAAAGCGUGCGUAGGCGGCCUGGUUAGUCGGAGGUGAAAUCCCGGGGCUCAACUCCGGAACUGCCUCCGAGACGGCUGGGCUUGAGCGAAGGAGAGGAGAGCGGAAUUCCCAGUGUAGAGGUGAAAUUCGUAGAUAUUGGGAAGAACACCGGUGGCGAAGGCGGCUCUCUGGCCUUUUGCUGACGCUCAGGCACGAAAGCGUGGGGAGCAAACAGGAUUAGAUACCCUGGUAGUCCACGCCGUAAACGAUGGAUGCUGGAUGUCGGGGGGCUUGCCCCUCGGUGUCGAAGCCAACGCGAUAAGCAUCCCGCCUGGGGAGUACGGCCGCAAGGUUAAA
rnacentral:rRNA from 1 species